rnacentral:antisense_RNA from 1 species
CUUCACCGAACCGAGCCACAGCGGUUCGUCGCGAUCCUGGCCGUAGGUCGCCAGGAGUGCUUGGGCCUC